AUACGGAGGAUCCGAGCGUUAUCCGGAUUUAUUGGGUUUAAAGGGUGCGCAGGCGGCCAUUUAAGUCAGCGGUUAAAUCGUGGGGCUCAACCCCAUUCUGCCGUUGAUACUGGGUGGCUUGAUUGCGGUCGAGGUUGGCGGAAUUCGUUGUGUAGCGGUGAAAUGCAUAGAUAUGACGAAGAACACCGAUUGCGUAGGCAGCUGACCAGAUCGCAAAUGACGCUCAUGCACGAAAGUGCGGGGAUCGAACAGGAUUAGAUACCCUGGUAGUCCGCACAGUAAACGAUGAAUACUUGUUUUCGGCGAUAUAAUGUCGGAGGCAAAGCGAAAGCGAUAAGUAUUCCACCUGGGAGUACGCCGGCAACGGUGAAACUCAAAUGAAUUGACGGGG
rnacentral:rRNA from 1 species